rnacentral:lncRNA from 1 species
AUUUUUUUAAACAAAGAAAAAAAAGUGUAUUCUCUCAGAGCUCUGGAGAUUAGAAAUCCAAGGUCAAGGUGUUAGCAUGAUUGGUUCCUUUUGAGGGCUCUGAGGGAGGGAUCUGUUCUAAGCCUCAUUUCUUUUUUUUUUUUUUUUUUUGAGACGGGUCUCGCUCUGUCUGGAGUGCAGUGGUGUAGUCAUAGCUCAGUGCAUCCUCAAAUUCCUGAGAUCAAGCAAU